AUACGAACCGUACGAACGUUAUUCGGAAUCACUGGGCUUAAAGCGUGCGUAGGCGGCUUGGAAAGUUGGGUGUGAAAUCCCUCGGCUCAACCGAGGAAUUGCGCUCAAUACUGCCAGGCUUGAGGGAGGUAGAGGUAAGCGGAACUAAUGGUGGAGCGGUGAAAUGCGUUGAUAUCAUUAGGAACACCUGUGGCGAAAGCAGCUUACUGGGCCUCUUCUGACGCUGAGGCACGAAAGCUAGGGGAGCGAACGGGAUUAGAUACCCCGGUAGUCCUAGCUGUAAACGAUGAGCACUGGAUUGAGGAGACUUCCACAUCUUCUCGGUCGUAGCGAAAGUGUUAAGUGCUCCGCCUGGGGAGUAUGGUCGCAAGGCUGAA
rnacentral:rRNA from 1 species